CCUACGGGCGGCAGCAGUGGGGAAUAUUGGACAAUGGGCGAAAGCCUGAUCCAGCCAUGCCGCGUGUGUGAAGAAGGCCUUCGGGUUGUAAAGCACUUUCAGUGGGGAAGAAAGCCUUGGGGCUAAUACCCUCGAGGAAGGACAUCACCCACAGAAGAAGCACCGGCUAACUCCGUGCCAGCAGCCGCGGUAAUACGGAGGGUGCGAGCGUUAAUCGGAAUUACUGGGCGUAAAGCGCGCGUAGGCGGUCUGAUAAGCCGGUUGUGAAAGCCCCGGGCUCAACCUGGGAACGGCAUCCGGAACUGUCAGGCUAGAGUGCAGGGGAGGAAGGUAGAAUUCCCGGUGUAGCGGUGAAAUGCGUAGAGAUCGGGAGGAAUACCAGUGGCGAAGGCGGCCUUCUGGACUGACACUGACGCUGAGGUGCGAAAGCGUGGGUAGCAAACAGGAUUAGAUACCCCGGUAGUC
rnacentral:rRNA from 1 species